rnacentral:lncRNA from 1 species
AAGAAUUUGAUUAUCACUUCAAGACAAAACAUAGAUUUUUCUCAUUGUUGAAGGUCUAACGGCUGCGUAUAAUUGCUUUCAAACACUUCUGAUUAUUUUUAUGUUAAUUAAUACUUAAAUGAUUUCAAUGAUUGAGUAAAUUAAAACAUUCAACAUACAUAUUUAUUACAUAGUUAGUACCCCUUGUUUGUGAUAUUCUCCUGGUAGAAACAAUCACCACUUCAGACCAUAAGCUGCAUCGACUCUUUAAUUCAUUAAAACAAUUAUGUAUCGAGCUUAUAAUUUCGCAAAACCGUCGAAGAUGAUUUAUAAAGCUGAAGCAUACAAUCGAAAUUGUAAUUUGUAAUAAUGAUAGCAUUUUUUUUUUUUUUUUCAAUUUUUACCUUAAGAUUACUGUACUGAUUGCGUUUCCUGAUUGGAUUCAUUCAAGGUUUACUGGUAUUUGAUAUUUUUAUGUUUAAGCCCCCAAUGACUUCUAUUGUCAUAAGUAUUAUAGGACGCAUCUCUUCAGUAACUCCUUGACCCCUUAAAAUUUUCAAUUGGUCAAAUUUAGAUUGUUUAUCACUUGUGUUGACAAACCAUUGAUCUUUAUUAUGUUUCUAAGUUUCAAAAUACUUGGAACUAAUCCGUUAAAAAUGUUUCAAUACUUAUUGAAUUUUAAGGUAAUAAAGGGACUUUUAAUUUUUCAUUACAACCAUAAUAUAAUUCUUUUUAGAAAAAGAAAGAAAUCGGAGUUAUCUUUCAUAUACCAUAAAUACACGAUCUCGC